rnacentral:rRNA from 1 species
GGGUUGUGAGGUUAAGCGACUAAGCGUACACGGUGGAUGCCCUGGCAGUCAGAGGCGAUGAAGGACGUGCUAAUCUGCGAUAAGCGUCGGUAAGGUGAUAUGAACCGUUAUAACCGGCGAUUUCCGAAUGGGGAAACCCAGUGUGAUUCGUCACACUAUCAUUAACUGAAUCCAUAGGUUAAUGAGGCGAACCGGGGGAACUGAAACAUCUAAGUACCCCGAGGAAAAGAAAUCAACCGAGAUUCCCCCAGUAGCGGCGAGCGAACGGGGAGGAGCCCAGAGCCUGAAUCAGUGUGUGUGUUAGUGGAAGUGUCUGGAAAGGCGCGCGAUACAGGGUGACAGCCCCGUACACAAAAAUGCACAUGCUGUGAGCUCGAUGAGUAGGGCGGGACACGUGGUAUCCUGUCUGAAUAUGGGGGGACCAUCCUCCAAGGCUAAAUACUCCUGACUGACCGAUAGUGAACCAGUACCGUGAGGGAAAGGCGAAAAGAACCCCGGCGAGGGGAGUGAAAAAGAACCUGAAACCGUGUACGUACAAGCAGUGGGAGCACGCUUAGGCGUGUGACUGCGUACCUUUUGUAUAAUGGGUCAGCGACUUAUAUUCUGUAGCAAGGUUAACCGAAUAGGGGAGCCGAAGGGAAACCGAGUCUUAACUGGGCGUUAAGUUGCAGGGUAUAGACCCGAAACCCGGUGAUCUAGCCAUGGGCAGGUUGAAGGUUGGGUAACACUAACUGGAGGACCGAACCGACUAAUGUUGAAAAAUUAGCGGAUGACUUGUGGCUGGGGGUGAAAGGCCAAUCAAACCGGGAGAUAGCUGGUUCUCCCCGAAAGCUAUUUAGGUAGCGCCUCGUGAAUUCAUCUCCGGGGGUAGAGCACUGUUUCGGCAAGGGGGUCAUCCCGACUUACCAACCCGAUGCAAACUGCGAAUACCGGAGAAUGUUAUCACGGGAGACACACGGCGGGUGCUAACGUCCGUCGUGAAGAGGGAAACAACCCAGACCGCCAGCUAAGGUCCCAAAGUCAUGGUUAAGUGGGAAACGAUGUGGGAAGGCCCAGACAGCCAGGAUGUUGGCUUAGAAGCAGCCAUCAUUUAAAGAAAGCGUAAUAGCUCACUGGUCGAGUCGGCCUGCGCGGAAGAUGUAACGGGGCUAAACCAUGCACCGAAGCUGCGGCAGCGACGCUUAUGCGUUGUUGGGUAGGGGAGCGUUCUGUAAGCCUGUGAAGGUGUGCUGUGAGGCAUGCUGGAGGUAUCAGAAGUGCGAAUGCUGACAUAAGUAACGAUAAAGCGGGUGAAAAGCCCGCUCGCCGGAAGACCAAGGGUUCCUGUCCAACGUUAAUCGGGGCAGGGUGAGUCGACCCCUAAGGCGAGGCCGAAAGGCGUAGUCGAUGGGAAACAGGUUAAUAUUCCUGUACUUGGUGUUACUGCGAAGGGGGGACGGAGAAGGCUAUGUUGGCCGGGCGACGGUUGUCCCGGUUUAAGCGUGUAGGCUGGUUUUCCAGGCAAAUCCGGAAAAUCAAGGCUGAGGCGUGAUGACGAGGCACUACGGUGCUGAAGCAACAAAUGCCCUGCUUCCAGGAAAAGCCUCUAAGCAUCAGGUAACAUCAAAUCGUACCCCAAACCGACACAGGUGGUCAGGUAGAGAAUACCAAGGCGCUUGAGAGAACUCGGGUGAAGGAACUAGGCAAAAUGGUGCCGUAACUUCGGGAGAAGGCACGCUGAUAUGUAGGUGAAGUCCCUCGCGGAUGGAGCUGAAAUCAGUCGAAGAUACCAGCUGGCUGCAACUGUUUAUUAAAAACACAGCACUGUGCAAACACGAAAGUGGACGUAUACGGUGUGACGCCUGCCCGGUGCCGGAAGGUUAAUUGAUGGGGUCAGCGCAAGCGAAGCUCUUGAUCGAAGCCCCGGUAAACGGCGGCCGUAACUAUAACGGUCCUAAGGUAGCGAAAUUCCUUGUCGGGUAAGUUCCGACCUGCACGAAUGGCGUAAUGAUGGCCAGGCUGUCUCCACCCGAGACUCAGUGAAAUUGAACUCGCUGUGAAGAUGCAGUGUACCCGCGGCAAGACGGAAAGACCCCGUGAACCUUUACUAUAGCUUGACACUGAACAUUGAGCCUUGAUGUGUAGGAUAGGUGGGAGGCUUUGAAGUGUGGACGCCAGUCUGCAUGGAGCCGACCUUGAAAUACCACCCUUUAAUGUUUGAUGUUCUAACGUUGACCCGUAAUCCGGGUUGCGGACAGUGUCUGGUGGGUAGUUUGACUGGGGCGGUCUCCUCCUAAAGAGUAACGGAGGAGCACGAAGGUUGGCUAAUCCUGGUCGGACAUCAGGAGGUUAGUGCAAUGGCAUAAGCCAGCUUGACUGCGAGCGUGACGGCGCGAGCAGGUGCGAAAGCAGGUCAUAGUGAUCCGGUGGUUCUGAAUGGAAGGGCCAUCGCUCAACGGAUAAAAGGUACUCCGGGGAUAACAGGCUGAUACCGCCCAAGAGUUCAUAUCGACGGCGGUGUUUGGCACCUCGAUGUCGGCUCAUCACAUCCUGGGGCUGAAGUAGGUCCCAAGGGUAUGGCUGUUCGCCAUUUAAAGUGGUACGCGAGCUGGGUUUAGAACGUCGUGAGACAGUUCGGUCCCUAUCUGCCGUGGGCGCUGGAGAACUGAGGGGGGCUGCUCCUAGUACGAGAGGACCGGAGUGGACGCAUCACUGGUGUUCGGGUUGUCAUGCCAAUGGCACUGCCCGGUAGCUAAAUGCGGAAGAGAUAAGUGCUGAAAGCAUCUAAGCACGAAACUUGCCCCGAGAUGAGUUCUCCCUGACCCUUUAAGGGUCCUGAAGGAACGUUGAAGACGACGACGUUGAUAGGCCGGGUGUGUAAGCGCAGCGAUGCGUUGAGCUAACCGGUACUAAUGAACCGUGAGGCUUAACCUUACAACGCCGAAGGUGUUU